rnacentral:rRNA from 1 species
CCAAAAGCUGGCGACCGGCGCACGGGUGAGUAACACGUAUCCAACCUGCCUCAUACUCAGGGAUAGCCUUUCGAAAGAAAGAUUAAUAUCCGAUAGCAUAUAUUUCCCGCAUGGGUUUUAUAUUAAAGAAAUUCGGUAUGAGAUGGGGAUGCGUUCCAUUAGUUUGUUGGGGGGGUAACGGCCCACCAAGACUACGAUGGAUAGGGGUUCUGAGAGGAAGGUCCCCCACAUUGGGACUGAGACACGGUCCAA